rnacentral:rRNA from 1 species
AGAGUUUGAUCCUGGCUCAGGAUGAACGCUAGCUACAGGCUUAACACAUGCAAGUCGCGGGGCAGCAUGGGGGUUGCUUGCAACUCCCGAUGGCGACCGGCGCACGGGUGAGUAACGCGUAUCCAACCUGCCCUUCACCACGGGAUAACCCGGCGAAAGUCGGACUAAUACCGUAUGUUGUCCAUUGACGGCAUCCGAUUUGGACGAAAGGCUUUGCGGUGAAGGAUGGGGAUGCGUCCGAUUAGCCAGACGGCGGGGUAACGGCCCACCGUGGCUACGAUCGGUAGGGGUUCUGAGAGGAAGGUCCCCCACACUGGAACUGAGACACGGUCCAGACUCCUACGGGAGGCAGCAGUGAGGAAUAUUGGUCAAUGGGCGUAAGCCUGAACCAGCCAAGUAGCGUGCAGGAUGACGGCCCUAUGGGUUGUAAACUGCUUUUAUGCGGGGAUAAAGUGGCCCACGUGUGGGUUUUUGCAGGUACCGCAUGAAUAAGGACCGGCUAAUUCCGUGCCAGCAGCCGCGGUAAUACGGAAGGUCCGGGCGUUAUCCGGAUUUAUUGGGUUUAAAGGGAGCGUAGGCCGCGCCUUAAGCGUGUUGUGAAAUCCGGGUGCUCAACAUCCGGCUUGCAGCGCGAACUGGGGCGCUUGAGUGCGCUGAAAGUAGGCGGAAUUCGUGGUGUAGCGGUGAAAUGCUUAGAUAUCACGAGGAACUCCGAUUGCGAAGGCAGCCUACUGUAGCGCUACUGACGCUGAUGCUCGAAAGCGUGGGUAUCGAACAGGAUUAGAUACCCUGGUAGUCCACGCGGUAAACGAUGGAUGCUCGUUGUCGGCCCUUCGGGUCGGUGACCAAGCGAAAGCGUUAAGCAUCCCACCUGGGGAGUACGCCGGCAACGGUGAAACUCAAAGGAAUUGACGGGGGCCCGCACAAGCGGAGGAACAUGUGGUUUAA